UCGAGAGUUUGAUCCUGGCUCAGGAUGAACGCUAGCGGCAGGCUUAACACAUGCAAGUCGAGGGGUAUAGUUCUUCGGAGCUAGAGACCGGCGCACGGGUGCGUAACGCGUAUGCAAUCUACCUUUUACAGAGGGAUAGCCCAGAGAAAUUUGGAUUAAUACCUCAUAGUAUGUGAGAAUCGCAUGGUUUUCACAUUAAACGUUCCAACGGUAAAACGAUGAGCAUGCGU
rnacentral:rRNA from 1 species